UACGUAGGCAGCGAGCGUUGUUCGGAGUUACUGGGCGUAAAGGGUGUGUAGGCGGUUGUUUAAGUUUGGUGGGAAAUCUCCCGGCUCAACUGGGAGGGUGCGCCGAAUACUGAGCGACUAGAGUGCGGGAGAGGAAAGUGGAAUUCCUGGUGUAGCGGUGAAAUGCGUAGAUAUCAGGAGGAACACCGGUGGUGUAGAUGGCUUUCUGGACCGUAACUGACGCUGAGACACGAAAGCGUGGGUAGCAAACAGG
rnacentral:rRNA from 1 species